GCCCACACCUGGUGCCACACCCAGAGCGCCAAUCCAUAAGUGUGAUUUUAUGGACCUAAUAUACACCUAUUUCAAAUAAGGUUGCAUUCGGAGAGUCUGUGUCUUAACCCGCAGUGCUUCAUCAAAUAUAUACAAAAAAUGAGCCCAAAGUAUAAUAUCUGUAUCUAUCUUUACAGCCUUUAGCAGCCUAAACAAACCCUCAAGUCUGUAUCCAUUUUUACAGCCUUAAAGUGUUUCUGAAGCGAAAAUUGUGUCAGGCUGUUCUUAGGCUUAUUAUAAAAUUCAAUCUUCGCUUAAUAUUAUAAAAGAAAAGUAAAAAUAAAAGAUUAUGAGGAACAUGAUUCAAUUAUUCUUCAAAGAGAGGUAACAAGUGCAACAAAAAAUACAGCGAAAUUACUUCAUAGGCACCCCCUGUUUUUCGUCACAUGGUUGCUUACUACGCUGAAGGAGCCAUUUUGAAUCGAUCAUUGACCAAAAAGUUCACUAGUUUGCCCUACUAUUUGUUGCGUUUAUAUUCUUACAAUGUCUGAUUACAACAAAUAGUCCAGUAAAGAGUCAUAUAAAACUCUUCGGGAGGCAACAGGAGCGAAUUUGGAUUGAAAGGAGCAGUGCAUUCCCUUGGAGCUGAACGGGUGAGAGUCAUUUGCACGAUGCAGGGAGAAAUAAGUGGAUUAUAAAAUGAUCUGUUGGAUCUACCUUCGGAGAGGAUAAUCACGGCUUCCAGGGCAGUUUUUCAGAAGUCUAGAACUUGUGAUGCUGGGCUUCUGUUGAUGUGCACUUGAGGGCCCAUGAGAUAGAGUAUUAGCAAACAUUCUUUAAUUUUUGUAAGAAUCAUUGAGAGGCACAUUAAUGCUACAGGGUCUGUACUCGAUUUCUAGUCAACAUCAGCUUAGUUUAUGUGAGGGACUCAUCAUUAGUUUUCAUCAAAUAAUACAGUAAAUACAGAGCAGAGACACUGGUCAAAUAUACAAGCUUUAGCGAUAUCGCUCUCUUUUCAUCAUCAUAAUCCUAUGGCCUCAGCCGAGGGCUCUGAGGUCUUUCAUUGCACUUGGCAUGUCCAUUACAAACUCACCAUUGUGCAUUGCGUAAAAUUAAAGGUUUACUCACUCAUUUCACAUUAAAGUUGAUCAGAAAACUUAGAUUGGCUGUACAGCAUACAUACCCCUUUUCUUUAGCAUAGUCUUGUGCAAAAUGUUCUUGAUUGAGAAUAUCCACAAGUUUAUUGAUUCCAAUAUUUAUUCACCAUUUGACCAUGAAUAGUCACUAACUUUUGAGUGUCUAGCCAGUGUAUGUGCAUUAGUCUGUUAUGCAAUAAGCUUUUAUUUAUUUUCUAGCUGAUAACAGUCAACAGUAAAAAAAAACAUUCUACUGCUAAUUGUAUAGAUACAGGAGAAGAAAUUAUUUGCAUACUGUACUAUGAAAAGUUGAGGGUGAGUGUCAACAUGAUGGAUUAUAUAGUCUUUUUCACCUAGUAUAUGACAGCAAGCUUAGCCAUGGUGGACUAGCAAGGUAAGGCUAGGUAACUCUCUAUAGCUUUCUUUCUCCAUCUAAGGUGGACCUUGGGGUGGACCGCUGUGGUCCCCUAAUCUCUGAGAUUUUGUAUGAAAACAUAAAAAAGGACAUUGGAUCUCCUUUCCGUGAAAUCCUCAUACUAGCCACCCUGGAAACACUUGAUCCCCCUAUUUGUAGCCCUAAGUGUGAAAACAAACUUCUUUGUGUAGUCACUUGGGUAGAUGCACAUUCCCCUUCUAACUCUGAAGGUGAAAUAUAAAAAAAAUAGUUUGAUUUAGCAGCAGGGCUAUAGCUUAGAACAAGGGGGAGGAAACUCCCCCCCCUGUUGAGCCAAAUGGACAUACAUGAAAAAAUGUGCCCCCCCCCCACCAACACCACAAAAUACUAGGAAUCAAUGAUGCUUCAUGACUGAAAUUAUCAUCCAAAUCCUAGGAAAAUCGAACUCAGUUUGAGUUGAUAUAGUUCGAGUUACCAAGGCUCCUACUUUUCAAAUAAAAACAAUGGAAUUGCACGUUUUUCAUAGGAUGGCUGUAUUGAUAUUAUAGAUCAUUUAUGGUAGAAAACAAGGGUCUAUUUGGUAUCAUCAGAUUGUAUGGUUUUCUGUCAUGAAUAUACAAAAAAAACCCUCUCUUUUGUACCCUACAUAAAUUUAACCCCAGAAUAACAACAGAACAAACAACAAUUUGUAUUAAUACUCUGCUUCUGGCAGGAUAUGGAAUAAAAUAAAAUCAUUCCUAGAAAUAUUUAACCUCCUCGCUUCUAAUUUCACAAUGAUUACUCUGGGCUUCAUCAGGUCAAUCAAAUCAUGAAUUUUUCGCCCCAUCAGCAUGUUUUGCUAUUCUAAUGGCCCCAGAACGCUUCGAGGGAUUAUUUUUUUGGUGUGUUCGAUUCCCACCUUGCCUAAACCUGAUCGUGUAAUUUCAACUCUACAGGUGAUUAUGUCAAUCGACCAAAACACUUUAAACGACCCUUCAGCUCAGAUUUCUAUAAUUAUCCAUAUCUUUAGAAUUGAACUCGUUGGCUCCGACGUAGCAGCUUGUUCAAAUUGCCUAAGGUUCGAAAGGUGCAAAAUUCUGAUUUCCUCAGCGAUUUUCACACCAGAUAAGUCUAUUUGCACCGUCUCAUUUUAGGGGUGGAAGGAAUAUUGACAAGUCAGUUGGUAGGCCGUAAUUUUUGCAGCUUUUGUGGCCUCGGGAAUCCGCAAAGUAAACUUCUACUGGCUUGUGUUGUGGCCAUGACCGUCACCUUCCUUUCGCACGCUUUUUCUCUUCCCGCUGAGCAAGCAACCGUGUGACGUCACAAGCCCUUCAAAAUGUUGCACUUGAUAGGACAAAAACACCAACUUCACGCAAUAAUUUUUUUCCAAUUGGUUUAUGUGGAUCGAAAAAGCUAUGAAAUGUUGUUUCUUUGAUAUUUGAGGUUUAAAAAAAAUGAUACAAAAAGGCUAUGUUUCCUUUCGCUUCAGAAACACUUUAAAUAAACAUAAAAAAACUCCAAAA